UGCUCCAUUCUGCUUCCAAAAUAUUCUUGAGCUUGUUCUCCCUUCAUCUUCUAAUAUCACAAUCUCACAACCAAAAAGGGGGGAAAAAAUGGUCUUCUCUAGUUCGUUCAAAUUGCUGGCCAUGGCUCUUGUUUUAGCAGUCAUGUUGCUCAUGUCCUCUAAGAUAGUUGAAGCAACACCAAAUUUCAAACUCGGGCGAAGGGCUCUGGAUGGAGUACCAUAUUGGGGUCGCUACAUAGAGCCGCCCGAAAUUCCAAGAAGUGGAGGCUACCACACUCCCUCACCAUAAUUGCCAAGGUGGAUGCAAAGCAGAUCUGGAGAGGAACAUGGAGUCUGAAGAUGCCAUAUGCUACUGCCAGAUUAUUAAUAUCUACUAUUUGAAGACAUGUUUUAGACGUUUCUUUUAUGCAUGCAUGUAGUGCCAUGUUUGAUGGCUAAAUAAGAUAUGUUUAAGGUUCAAUUAUUCUGGUCUUAUAGUACAUGUAGUAUGCUUAAAUAAAAUAUUAGAAAGAUAUUAAAUGCAAUACUAUGUUUAGAGUUUGGCAUUGUAAUGACUUGAGUUGAGUAUAAUCCAGUGAACAAAUAGGAUUCACUAUUGGAAUAAA